GUCCACCGCCAGGGGCCCGGGAGCGCCCCUCCCGCACUCAGGGGCUGGUCUGCACUCGUCUAGGAGAGGAAACCAAGGCCUAAAGAGGUGGUGUCAUGAGAUGAUGGAUGUGAAAACAGAUCAUGAUACUCUACAAAUCGCAGGAAAACGAGUCCAGAAUUUCCCUGUGCAACAACUGGAAGGGAAGGGAGAGAGCAUGGGAGGGUUCGAGUAGGAAGAGCAAGAUGACUAUGAAGAAAAUCCAAGCUUCCAAACCAUGC